rnacentral:piRNA from 1 species
UUCUCACGCAAAGUGGCCAGGGUGUGGGA